rnacentral:rRNA from 1 species
UUUGACGUUAGCGACAGAAGAAGCACCGGCUAACUCCGUGCCAGCAGCCGCGGUAAUACGGAGGGUGCGAGCGUUAAUCGGAAUUACUGGGCGUAAAGCGCAUGCAGGUGGUUCGUUAAGUCAGAUGUGAAAGCCCGGGGCUCAACCUCGGAACUGCAUUUGAAACUGGCGGACUAGAGUACUGUAGAGGGGGGUAGAAUUUCAGGUGUAGCGGUGAAAUGCGUAGAGAUCUGAAGGAAUACCGGUGGCGAAGGCGGCCCCCUGGACAGAUACUGACACUCAGAUGCGAAAGCGUGGGGAGCAAACAGGAUUAGAUACCCUGGUAGUCCACGCCGUAAACGAUGUCUACUUGGAGGUUGUGGCCUUGAGCCGUGGCUUUCGGAGCUAACGCGUUAAGUAGACCGCCUGGGGAGUACGGUCGCAAGAUUAAAACUCAAAUGAAUUGACGGGGGCCCGCACAAGCGGUGGAGCAUGUGGUUUAAUUCGAUGCAACGCGAAGAACCUUACCUACUCUUGACAUCCAGAGAAUCCAGCGGAGACGCAGGAGUGCCUUCGGGAGCUCUGAGACAGGUGCUGCAUGGCUGUCGUCAGCUCGUGUUGUGAAAUGUUGGGUUAAGUCCCGCAACGAGCGCAACCCUUAUCCUUGUUUGCCAGCGAGUAAUGUCGGGAACUCCAGGGAGACUGCCGGUGAUAAACCGGAGGAAGGUGGGGACGACGUCAAGUCAUCAUGGCCCUUACGAGUAGGGCUACACACGUGCUACAAUGGCGCAUACAGAGGGCAGCCAACUUGCGAAAGUGAGCGAAUCCCAAAAAGUGCGUCGUAGUCCGGAUUGGAGUCUGCAACUCGACUCCAUGAAGUCGGAAUCGCUAGUAAUCGUGGAUCAGAAUGCCACGGUGAAUACGUUCCCGGGCCUUGUACACACCGCCCGUCACACCAUGGGAGUGGGCUGCAAAAGAAGUGGGUAGUUUAACCUUUCGGGGAGGACGCUCACCACUUUGUGGUUCAUGACUGGGGUGAAGUCGUAACAAGGUAGCGCUAGGGGAACCUGGCGCUGGAUCACCUCCUUA